rnacentral:rRNA from 1 species
AGUGAACGCUGGCGGUAGGCCUAACACAUGCAAGUCGAACGGCAGCACAGUAAGAGCUUGCUCUUACGGGUGGCGAGUGGCGGACGGGUGAGGAAUACAUCGGAAUCUACUUUUUCGUGGGGGAUAACGUAGGGAAACUUACGCUAAUACCGCAUACGACCUACGGGUGAAAGCAGGGGAUCUUCGGACCUUGCGCGAUUGAAUGAGCCGAUGUCGGAUUAGCUAGUUGGCGGGGUAAAGGCCCACCAAGGCGACGAUCCGUAGCUGGUCUGAGAGGAUGAUCAGCCACACUGGAACUGAGAAACGGUCCAGACUCCUACGGGAGGCAGCAGUGGGGAAUAUUGGACAAUGGGCGCAAGCCUGAUCCAGCCAUACCGCGUGGGUGAAGAAGGCCUUCGGGUUGUAAAGCCCUUUUGUUGGGAAAGAAAAGCAGCAGGUUAAUACCCCGCUGUUCUGACGGUACCCAAAGAGUAAGCACCGGCUAACUUCGUG